ensembl:lncRNA CLRN1-AS1 CLRN1 antisense RNA 1
AGCUCAGCUGGAGUGCAAGCUGGGAAUGCAGUCAAGGCUUCAUCCACCCCAGGCAGCUUUCCUGAGCCUUGGGAGACUGGCUCUCAAUGAAUCCAAGCUGCUUUUAUCCUUUGCUGCCUAUCUAGUCUUGUUAACAACAAAGAAGAGGAGAAUGGAGAUUGAGCAACCAGGAAGCAGUCUCAGCCACACCAUCAUAUGGAGAAGUGCCUGUUUCCCAUUCUGCCCGAUUUUAAGUUUCCUGAGGCACCCCCAGCCAUGCAGAACUCUCUGGUGCCUGGCCCACAGGAAGUUUUCACUAAAUAUUGAAAUAAACUGAACUUAGAUUAAACUUUGGUGUCUAACUUAGGAAAAACAACAAGAGUUCUACAAAACUAUUUCUUCACAGGAAAGUCUGAAGCCAGGCCUGCUUAGCAGAGGUCUCCGUAUAGUAGGGAUCUCACUCUUUCAAGAUGUAGGAUCUCAACUGGUUAGCCAGCCCUCUGAGUGAAGCUGGUCAGUUGGGGCUGUGACAACAUAGCACACUCAAAGGGGCAGACCCUUCUCAGCUCCAACAGAUUGGUGUCAUUGGAAAAGGUGGACCCAGUGUAGGCAGACUUUCCUAGAGAGUCCAGAAGUGACUGUGCAAGCCCAAAGCAAUCCAAACAAAUAUUUGUGGACCACCAAGAACCUCUGGUAUGAAGUAAAUAAUAAAGGCAUUGAACAAUAAUAACCUGUCUGUAUAUCCACCAAUGGGACCGAUGGGCCACAGUGUGACAUCUAUCCUAUUCAUGUCAUAAGGGAGAUGAAUUCUACUGUGGGACAGUCUGUGUGACUGCUCGUAGGAGAUUAUCCAAUUCCUUUUGCUCUAAUUUCAUGGUCACCAAAUUUCUGCUUGCUAACUUUGUUUUACAACAAACUUUAGAAAGGAGGUGAUCUGAAUAAGAGGAUAUAUGUUUUUCAGUCUCUGGAAAGGGGUAUUUCUUUGUAUUGAGAAGCCAGAACUCUUGAGUGUGUUGAGCCUUGUAGAGAUUGAACCACUCUGGGUCAGCUGACAAAAUAAGAUUCUGGUGCUGAAAAGCUGAGUAUGUGACCAUGAUAUUAACAGUGACCUAAGUUUGUGUGGCCCCCUUCGUUCUCCAGAAACCAACCAGUCAGCCUUCAUUUUGUAAAUGUAGCAGACACCAUUUUGCUAGUGAAUGAGGUUAAAUCUUUAGCCUUGUCAUUGGUUCGGCUUUGUAAUUUAAAACUCUCUUAUUUUACCCUCUGAUUUUAAAUCCCCAGAUUUUCCUUUCUGUGUCCUUUGCCCCCUGAAGUUUCCAUCUGUCUAGCAACUAAGCACUGUUUGGGUAUCUACUGUCUUCCCCAAGUUGCCUUUACUUUUCUUCUUUACCUUUCUCUUGUUUUAUUUAUUUCUUUCUUUUUUUGAAAUGGAGUCUUGCUCUGUCACCCAGGCGGGAAUGCAGUGGCGCAAUCUCGGCUCAUUGCAACCUCCACCUCCCGGGUUCAAGCAGUUCUCCUGCCUCAGCCUAAUGAGUAGCUGGAAUUACAGGUGUGCACCCCCAUACCUGACUAAGUUUUGUAUUUUCAGUAGAGACGGGGUUUCACCAUGUUGGCCGGGCUGGACUUGAACUCCUAACCUCAGGUGAUCCGCCCUCCUUGGCCUCCCAAAGUGCUGGGAUUACAGGCAUGAGCCACCACACACAGCCUCUCUUGUUUUACUUCUGUCAUUACUUUUUGUUCUUUUAAUUUGGAAACCCACCUGCUUCCUCAGUGUCAUUAUUAAAAACCCACAUGUUACAGGUUCAUUAGGACUGAAACAUUCCUUCAGAGCUGAGCUGACCAACAUGUUAGCCACUAGCCACAUGUGACUAUUGCAUACAUGAAAUGCAAAAUGUGGCUGGUCUGAAAUGAUGGUAUAGGUAUGAAAUUCACACAAGAUUUAGAAUACUGAAGAUAAAAAAGAAUGUAAAGUAUCUCAUUAAUACUUUUUUUGGUAUUGAUCACCUAUUGAAAUGGUAAUAUUUGGUUAUACUGGCUUAAGCAAAUGUACAUUAAAAUUAAUUUCAUCUAUUUCUUUUUACUUCUUUAAUACCAGAAAAUGUAAAAGUACCUAUCUGGCAAGCAAUAUAAAACUAUUGGUCAGUGCUACUUGAGAGUCUUAAUGUCUGUAUUUUUUAUAUCUCUGUAAGCAUAAAUGCUGUAUUAAAAACCCAAUUUGAAUAAACACCCCCAAAUUACUCUUCC